AGCGUAGGUGGCCUAACAUGUCAACUGUGAAAACCCGGAGCUCAACUCCGGACUUGCAGUUGAAACUGGUAGGCUUGAGGACGGUAGAGGAAGACGGAACUGCCAGUGUAGGGGUAAAAUCCUUAGAUAUUGGCAGGAACGCCGGUGACGAAGGUGGUUUUCUGGGCCGGUUCUGACACUGAUGCUCGAAGGCCAGGGGAGCGAACG
rnacentral:rRNA from 1 species